rnacentral:rRNA from 1 species
CUACGGGAGGCUCCAGUCGAGAAGCUUCGGCAAUGGGCGAAAGCCUGACCGAGCGAUGCCGCGUGAGCGAAGAAGGCCCUAUGGGUUGUAAAGCUCUGUCAGAUUGGGAAGAAAGCUUCGGGGUUAAUACCCCCGAAGUGUGACGGUACCAUCAGAGGAAGCACCGGCUAACUCCGUGCCAGCAGCCGCGGUAAUACGGAGGGUGCAAGCGUUGUUCGGAUUCACUGGGUAUAAAGGGUGCGCAGGCGGCCUGGUAAGUCAGGGGUGAAAUAUGACGGCUCAACCGUCAAACUGCCUCUGAAACUGCCAGGCUUGAGUCCGGGAGAGGAAGGUGGAAUUCCUGGUGUAGCGGUGAAAUGCGUAAAUAUCAGGAGGAACACCGGUGGCGAAGGCGGCCUUCUGGCCCGGAACUGACGCUCAUGCACGAAAGCCAGGGGAGCGAACGGGAUUAGAUACCCGCGUAGUC